rnacentral:rRNA from 1 species
GGGCCCGCACAAGCGGUGGAGUAUGUGGUUUAAUUCGAUGCAACGCGAAGAACCUUACCAGGGUUUGACAUCCUGCGAAUCUCUUGGAAACGAGAGAGUGCCUUCGGGAGCGCAGUGACAGGUGGUGCAUGGCUGUCGUCAGCUCGUGUCGUGAGAUGUUGGGUUAAGUCCCGCAACGAGCGCAACCCACGUCUUUAGUUGCCAGCAUUUAGUUGGGCACUCUAGAGAGACCGCCGGUGAUAAACCGGAGGAAGGUGUGGAUGACGUCAAGUCAUCAUGCCCCUUACAUCCUGGGCUACACACGUACUACAAUGCUACGGACAAAGAGCAGCAAGUUCGCGAGGACAAGCA